CUCGAACUAUUUUUGUCCACAGAUACGGAUUCCAGUCCUCGAUAACACUCCUCUUCAGCCCUUCCUCGACACACUCCACUUCAGCCCUUAAUUUCCAGCCGACUCCACUCCAGGUAAGUUUAAAGCAAGAGCUAGGCAGUUGACGUGCAGGGACUUUCUGGCUCUGGGGGGGGGGGGUGGACUUCAAGACCCAAGGCUGAGCUGUUAGCGUGCAGGGGUUCUAGCUCUCAGGUAAGUACAAAGUUCAAUACACAGGUGGGUAUUCACAGGGCUGGGCUGUUAGCGUGCAGGGGUUCUAGCUCCCAGGUAAGUACAGAAUUCAAUACACAGGUGAGUAUUCGCAGGGCUGGGCUGUUAGCGUGCAGGGGUUCUAGCUCACAGGUAAGUACAGAAUUCAAUACACAGGUGAGCAUUCACAGGGCUGGGCUGUUAACUGGCUACUCACCACUGAAGAUAUUCAGAGGUCGGUAUUCCAAGCAGAUACGGGUUUGGUCGAUGACUGACGGCUGGUGGGCCUUACAGGUGAGACUGCAAACAAUACUGGGCUUCCCGCCCAGCUUGGCAAGGGGGCACACGGGGGAGGAUCGGCUGUUGUCCUUCGCUUCCCUCGUCAAAGAGACAGCACAGACGACACGCACAAGGCCGGUGGUUGCUGACAAGGCCAAUGACACAACGUCACGUGGAUGAAAAGGUAAGGCUUUGAUUUAAAAGCUUACAGAGAUCGCUGUGUGGGCGACGUCAUCCAACCUCCUCCAGAGGCGCCUCCAACACGUCCAAGCUCCAGCUUACUUAAGGUAAAGACUGUGGUUGCCACCAAUACACUGCUCCUCUCUGUCAGGCCUCUUCCUACGACCGGGGACACAACCACGGACAAACACCACACACCACAAAGGCACUACAAUUCUUCUCGUGUGUACACUUCAAUAUAGCAGCACUCACCGCACUCCACACACUCAGUGAAAGAAGAUCCGUGGUGUAUUCCCGUUUCGGGCUCAGAGUCCUGGCGGGGCGUGUCAGAUGGACGAAGGCAGGGGGCAGACCACAGCAGGCGUAUAUAUCGUACACCGGAGUCUCUCCGUCUUUCCCAGCGAUCUCCAACGCAAGGCACUACUAUCAACACUGAGUAAACACACAAGCACUGAGGAUUAUUAGAUCAACACAAGAGAGGGGGGGGGGGGGAUUACCCACUGCUACGGAGAAAUAUGCAGUCGGAACACUUUCUUAAAGGCAGUUAGUCUCCCUCCACAUCCGUCAUCCACUCUCCACAAUAUACAAGGAAUGUUCAUAAAGUCUUCACCCACCAGUACACAGUGUUGUCCUCUCCCAAUACGAAUUCAAUGAUCUCCUUCACUCAGGGGCCUUCCAAACAUAGGAU
ensembl:lncRNA